UUUGCCGCGCUUUGUAUUCAGGAGCAUAUGGAGAAAAAUGCUUCUGCAUUUAAAAAGACAACAGGGGUUAUAAUUUAGUUUCUCAUUUAAAAAGUAAAAAGUUAAAUGUCUUUUAUAUAGUGUGAAAAAUUUUAAAUAUACAUAGCAGAAUGAUGCACUGUGUAAGAACGUUUACUUCCAAUAAGAAGAUACCAUUAGUGUUGACAUUAAAAUAUAUCACAGAAUACAAGCUGGUUGAUAAUAGUGGCAUCAACUUUUUAAUCAGAUCUCAAUCUUGUCAUUUUCAUAAGAAUGUACAUACAUCUAAGAGUUUAAUUAAACCAAUAAGUCAAAUUGGAAUAAUUAAAACAUUGUCACAUAAGUUUGAUCUUUUUAAAAAAAAAACUUAUUUAACUGAAUUGGGUUAUGAUUUGUAUGGUGACAUUCCUGAUGGACUCAAUUAUUCGAUAUUUUACAAAGGUUUCAAUAUGUCAGAUACAUUUUUCUCUUGGUUCCUAGUCACAGAAUUGCAUGUUUGGAUGUUAAUGGUACGUUUCAUGGCUGAAGGAGAGAAGGGCAAGUUAGUUAUAAGCAAAAUGGUCGAGGCUAUGUGGCACGAUGUUCUUAUAAGAGCAGAAUUACUUGGUCCAAUGACUCCAAGAACAAAGAAAAGACAAGUAGCAGAUUUAUCAUAUCAAUUUAAUGCAGCUAUAGUUGGUUAUGAUGAAGGAAUCAUGUCAGAUGACAAGGUAUUAGCUAGUGCAUUAUGGAGAAGGUUCUUUUGCUUAGAAUGUAACAAUCCAGAACAUCUAGAAAAACUUUUAAUUUAUGUUAGAAAACAGAUUACUGUGUUCGAUAAAAUUCCAUCAGAAAAAGUGUUUGAUAGAUCAAUAGCAAAAUGGGUAGAUUUGUAAGGCGCCAAAUGAAGCUCAUUAAUACUAUUAAGAAUUUGUAAAUUUUAAUUAGUUUAUAUCACAACUUUCUUGCAAUGAAGGUGCCGCUCGCUUGUAAAAGUUCCUACAAUAAAAAAUAAAUUCUUACUAUACGCAUAUAAUGAACCACUAUAUAAUGUACAAUAAUAGAAUAAUACUGAAUGAUAUAACUUU